UACGAAGGGGGCUAGCGUUGCUCGGAAUCACUGGGCGUAAAGGGUGCGUAGGCGGGUCCUUUAAGUCAGGGGUGAAAUCCUGGAGCUCAACUCCAGAACUGCCUUUGAUACUGAAGAUCUUGAGUUCGGGAGAGGUGAGUGGAACUGCGAGUGUAGAGGUGAAAUUCGUAGAUAUUCGCAAGAACACCAGUGGCGAAGGCGGCUCACUGGCCCGAUACUGACGCUGAGGCACGAAAGCGUGGGGAGCCAAACAGGG
rnacentral:rRNA from 1 species